UCCGAGAGGUCCAAACGUUAUUCGGAAUCACUGGGCUUACAGAGUUCGUAGGCGGUCCGGAAAGUGGGGUGUGAAAGCCCUCGGCUCAACCGAGGAACUGCGCUCCAAACUACCGUGCUAGAGGAAGAUAGAGGUGAGCAGAACUGAUGGUGGAGCGGUGAAAUGCGUUGAUAUCAUCAGGAAUACCGGAGGCGAAGGCGGCUCACUGGGUCUUUUCUGACGCUGAGGAACGAAAGCUAGGGGAGCAAACGGG
rnacentral:rRNA from 1 species